ACAAUGAACGAAAGUUUGAUCCAGCAAUACUAUCUGAAUGAAGACGGCUUUUUUAGUUGUAAAAUUCUUUCGUUAAGAAUGAUAAUGACAUUACUUAAAGAAGUUUAGUCCCGGCUAAUACUCGUGCCAGCAGCCGCGGUAAUACGGGAGGGGCAAGCGUUAUUCGGCAUAACUGGGCGUAAAGGGUCCGUAGACUGCAAAGUAAGUUGCUAGUUAAAACUUAAAACUUAAUUUUAAGGUAGCUUGUAAUACUGCUUUACUAGAGUUUUGUACGGAAGAGUAGAAUUUUAUACGAAAGGGUAAAAUCUAAGAAUAUAUAAAGGAACACCAGUAGCGAAGGCGACUCUUUAGUAAAAACUGACGUUGAGGGACGAAAGUGUGGGGAGCAAACAGGAUUAGAUACCCUGGUAGUCCACACUGUAAAUUAUGAGUGCUGUAAUUUAAUGUAAGUUACGUACGUAUUUUAUACGUACUGUUACUAAAUACUUACUUAGAUUUUUAAGCUAACGCCAUAGGCACUCCGCCUGAGGAGUACUAUCGCAAGGUUGAAACUCAAAGGAAUUGACGGGGGCUAAUACUAGUGGUGGAGCAUGUGGUUUAAUGCGAUAAUCCGCGCAAAACCUUACCAAUCUUUGACAUAAAAGUUGUGUUAAAUUUUACACUUUAAAGUAAAUAAAUUGACAAAAUAACUUUUACAGGUGUUGCACGGCUGUCGUCAGCUCGUGUCGUGAGAUGUUCGGUUAAUUCCCUAAACGGGCGUAACUCUUGUCUUUAAUUUAAUGAGUUUACUCACUUUUUGAACGAUUUAAAGUUUUUAAAUUGGCUUUAAAGAUACAGUCAACGAUAAGUUGAAGGAAGAUGAGAACUAAGUCAAGUCAGUGUGACCCUAAUAGAUUGGGCUACACAUGUGCUACAAUGAAAAUCACAGAAAGUUACAAAAAGUAAAAUUUUUAGUUAAUCUCCAAAAAUUUUCCCAGUUCGAAUUGUAAGCUGAAACUCGCUUACAUGAAGUUGGAAUCACUAGUAAUCGCAAAUCAGCACGUUGCGGUGAAUAAGUCAAUUAGCCUUGUACACACCGCCCGUCACAUGCAAAGAGCCAGUUUUGCUUGAAGACUUAACUGAGUUAAGUCCAUUGAGAAAUUGAUAAUUUGGAUGAAGUCGUAACAAGGUAUCCGU
rnacentral:rRNA from 1 species